rnacentral:rRNA from 1 species
CAACGACUCAGCGUGCUACCCUUCCCAGCCAUAAAAAAAACCCAAAUUCUCGUUCUCCUCCCGUUCCUUUUUCACCGUUCCUUGCCUGAUCCAUGGAUUCAUCCAUCCACAUUAGUUGCUAGAUCCUGCCAAGGGAGGAGGACGGGGUGAGAAGGGGGAUUUGCGGCGGAGUGCGGUGGUUGCAUGCUCUCGGCGACGGCAGGUCCUCCAGCUCGACCACAUGUGCCUGCUGCUCGCCGCCGCCGUCAAUUGGAUGGCCGUGGAGUUGGGCCCCUUUGAACCUGAGCGGUUCCUCUCCUCCAGGUAAUCUCUCCUCUUCCCAUUCCUUCUGCUCCCUUCCCAGAUGCUUGGUCUUCUAGGCUCCAGGAAUGGCGCGGAUUUUGGUUUUUUUAUGGAGAUUUUCUAUGGCUAUGAGAAAUUUUUUCGUCCAUGUGAAAGCGAGUGGCUGCACCAAAUCCAUCCACUGGCCUGCCCGUGCAUCACUAAAGCUGGGAAGGAGAUGCUCUUGAGGCCAGAUCGGACCGAGGCUGGGGCACGCGUUCCAGCUUCAGAUUCUGCGCCCCUAGCAGCGAGGUCAUGAGGCAAAGCGGUCGCAUGGGAGGCCACUGGAGAAUAUGAUAAAUCCGUUUUGCUGAGUGGCGUUGCUCUCCUGUUUGUGCCACUGGGCCGAGAGUUGUGCCGUCGGGUUCGACAGCCAUGUUCUUCAUAGUGUUCCUCGUCGUCUAUGGCAGAGUAGUAGGGAUGGAGAGACCACGGGUGGAGGCGUGUUGUGGGCUUGCUACUUCUGUCAGUUUCCACCUAUGUAAUGUGCUACAACUUUGCAACAUUACUACUUGUUGCACACCGGUUAAUUCGUCACAGGUAUGCUUCCUCCCUGUAGUUUGAUAAAAAGGUGUAUUCUUUCUAUUUGUUGUUACCAUAUAGUAUUAGCAAGUUAUAUUAAUGAUAUGUGUUUUUAAGACAAAAGAAAAAGGCUUGCAUUUAUUAACUGAAUUUGGUCCAUAUGUGUGAAUAUAUAUGCAAUAGAGUUUUCGCAUGUGUUGUAGGUGAUGCAUAUAACACUGGAGCUUUUUUCAUUGUUCUCCUCAACUGAAAAGGCUAGACAGAAGAGCUGUUACCAAGAACAUUAAACUCACUAAAGUGCAUGUCUGAAUUUACUAGACCUUCCAUAGUAACCAUGAAUGUAAUUAGAAAAUGCAUGCAGGGAUUAAAUAUGCAAAUUGUACAUUGAUGACCUAUGGAAAAUAUCUGAACCCGAAUGGAUGAACUGAUGAUUUAGAACAACUCUUACUAACCUUUCAAAUUUCAGAAUUUACGGGAAUCACUUGUCGCAUAUGUCAUCUUCUACAAAAAUACUCCGCGGACAACAAAAUAGCUACUGUUACUUUAGGACUACAAAAUAAUCUAUUAGACUCAUUUUGCAGCGAUAAGAAAUAGCAUAUAGCAUGUUGUACAGGAAAAAAUUAAAAGGGCAACCUGGUGCAUGUAGCUCCCGCUUGCGCAGGGUCCAGGGAAGGGUCCGACCACUUUGGGUCUAUAGUACGCAGCCUUUCCCUACAUUUCUGUAAGAGGCUGUUUCCAGGACUUGAACCCAUGACCUCAUGGUCACAAGGCAGCAGCUUUACCACUGCGCCAAGGCUCCCCUUCACUUAUAAGAGCAUUUAGAAUUGUAGCGUUGCCUUUCACUUAUAUUAGACACUCAAAAAUUAUACUUAUUGUCAUAGAAACAUAGACUGAUUGGAACAUAUCUAGUACGGAGUAGAAUAUAGCCUUCAGGUGCAGAACUGAAAACAACAUGCAACAGUACGAUUGUCUCUGACCACCCGGAUAAAUGUAUAAUAGUCCUUCCAUAGUAACCACGAAUGUAAUUAGAAUUAUUUCAAAAAAAAUGAAUGUAAUUAGAAAAUGCAUGCAGGGAUCAAAUAUGCAAAUUGUACAUUGAUGACCUAUGGAAAAUAUCUUAACUCGAAUGGAUGAACUGAUUACUGAGAUCAACUCUUACUAACCAUUCAAAUUUCAGAAUUAAUGGAAAUAACUUGAAUUUAUAAGGAUUCACACACAUAUCAUCUUCUAGGAAAAAUCUGCACACAAUACAAUAGCUAUUGUUACUUAAUGACUACUAAAAUAAUCUAUUAUGCUCAUUUUUUAACGAUAAGAGUUGCAUAUAGCAUCUUGUAUAUCAUAACAAUUCUGCAAACAAUAGUAGCUGCUGUUACUAACACAUUGUAUAAUAUGUAAUCUGUUAUAUCCUGAAUUCAGGACCUUUACGCAUUAGUCCUAAGGAUAGCAGUUAGCUUGUAUACAUAAACUUAUCCUUUUUCAAACUGUAAAUCUAAGAUGCACAAUGAUCUGAGAAAAUACCAUUGGAUACAUAUGUCUUUAUACAUUUUGUCAAACACUUGGCAAGUAUGUCCAAAUUCUAACUAACUGUUAGACAGAGUAGGGCGAGGAGUUGAUUAAAUCUAGAAAGAGGAUAGGGCCAUGUUUCAAACAAUUCUGCUAUUACGCCAAGUAAUACCUGCAUCUGGAGUCGAAUUGUUUCUCUUUAUGCCACUUGUAAGUCACAUCCUUGGUGGUCAUCUUACUAUGCUUGUAGACCAUGCUGAUCUAUCCUCUUGCAGACAGUCCUACAUGCCUUGAUCGACCUGCGUAUGACACAACUCCAAGAUAGCACGAUAGCAUUCUUCCUACUUUGCGACAUGAUUCUUGUCAAGUGUUUCCUAUGGACAGGAACAGGAUGAUGAGACACGACUGGUUCCUCGGGAGGCGGAAUCUUCAACACCUAACCGAUUGAGGAGAAGAUCUUGUGGAGAGUGGACACAUAAUGCAUGGCUUCGAGGUUUUGGUGGCGCUGUAGGAUGUGGGCUGCAGCCACACAGGACAGGAUGAAUAGUGCGGCCCUAGAGUAGACCAUCAGAAACCCUAGAACUGGGCUACUCGAGAGGCAUAGUUUUGGGGUUUCGAUGGAUCUAUAGGAGGUGAGCUGCAGUUGCACAGGAGGAAUAGCUCGGCCCUAGGGCAGACCAUCAAAAACCCUAAAACAUGGACUGCUCGAGAGGCAUAUGGCUUUGAAGUUUCGGUAGAGCUGUAGGACGUGAAAUCAGAAUGAGCUUCUAGAGCGUACAUCUCUUUUUGUAUGCAACGUGUCAGGAUUUUUUUACCAUAUUGAUGCCCGUACUUGAACUUUUUUUUGAAGUGGCCCGUACGUGAACCUAACUCUUCCUACCUUUUUUACGUGAUAACGCUUCCUUGCCUAGUCGUUUUUUUAUGCGUUGACACUUCCUUGCC